UCUGCUUGGGGAAAUAAGGAAAGUCUGGCACAGAACACCCGUCGACUCGUCGAACCCUGGUAUUCAACAUCUAAAUCCAGUGUCAACUUUCCACUUUUGAGAGCUCCCAGACUUGUCUGGACUUUUCUGAUUCAUCACCUUAUAUUCUCGCCUUCUCCGUACUCCGCGGAGAUCAAACUCCUCAAAUUGGUAUCAACUUUCCAAUUCUUCAGACUUUGAAGAGUCUUCUUGAUUAAUCCUCCAGGAUCGUCGCCAUUCUUUCA
rnacentral:lncRNA from 1 species